CAAAAGCGGACUGUGUGGUCGUACCCGGCCGUGGCUAAAAUGACCGGGUCGCUGCCCACGGUCCCCUGAUUCACGUUCAUGCUUGUCUUCUGGCUGCCACUGUCGAAUUAUGGUUUGUGGUGAAGACCCGUCCGCCAGCAUCUCACUGAAUGCCGACCAAUCAGGAUCCAGAGGAAGAUCACGGAGCAGCGGUACAGGGAGCAAAAGCGACCUCAUGGCAGGCGACCCGGCUACUCCUCAAAAACCUCAGUGUCAUUGCCAAGCCACCGCCGCAAGGAAUGCGGCCUGCAGCUGAGCCAGAAAGCGCCACUCAUGCAACCGACGUUCGCAUUCGAUCACAAAAACAUGGACGGCAGAUGAAGUGUGUAAGUAGUGCGUUGCAUACAAGCACACACAGCGUGAAUCACAUUCACUUGGGCGCACAAGCUGUACUGUUCACCUAAAGCCACUGAAGGUGAUGUAAGGAGUGGGAUGGCUCCCUCUAGAGGACAAUUGCCAAACAGCAAAUUCAUUUGCAAUUGUGGUUUAUUCAGUGUACUGACUGUACUUCUUAUGACAUCAUAUCAGCAUGUCUUUAGGUCUUUAGUAGUAGUAGAAUUAAGCGUCUUUACCACUGAAUAAAUGUAUUACAAAAGUACAUGAACAUACAAAAUGCCCAAAUUCAAACCUUUUAGUUCUCUCCUAUGCAACAUAAACUUUUCACGUCCCUCAAAGUUGGGAGACUUAUUUAAAUAUGAGUUAUUUAAGUACGAAAGCAGUAGCUU